rnacentral:rRNA from 1 species
UACGUAGGGUGCAAGCGUUAUCCGGAUUCAUUGGGUUUAAAGGGUGCGUAGGCGGGCAGGUAAGUCCGUGGUGAAAUCUCUGAGCUUAACUCAGAAACUGCCAUGGAUACUAUUUGUCUUGAAUAUUGUGGAGGUAAGCGGAAUAUGUCAUGUAGCGGUGAAAUGCUUAGAUAUGACAUAGAACACCAAUUGCGAAGGCAGCUUACUACACAGUUAUUGACGCUGAGGCACGAAAGCGUGGGGAUCAAACAGG